AUUGAACGCUGGCGGCAGGCUUAACACAUGCAAGUCGAGCGAGCGGCGGACGGGUGAGUAAUGUCUGGGAAACUGCCUGAUGGAGGGGGAUAACUACUGGAAACGGUAGCUAAUACCGCAUACCAUCAGAUGUGCCCAGAUGGGAUUAGCUUGUAGGUGGGGUAAUGGCUCACCUAGGCGACGAUCCCCAGCUUGUCUGAGAGGAUGACCAGCGACACUGGAUGUUAGACACGGUCCUGUCUACGACGGGAGGUAGCUGGGGGUAGUAUUGGACGAUGUGCACAAGGCUGAUGCAGCCUUUGCGCGGGAGUUAACUAUGACUUCGGGUUGUGAAGCAGUAUCAUCGAGGAGGCGUGCCUCGCAGAAGAAUCACCGGCUAACUCCGUGCCAGCAUCCUCGCUAUUUC
rnacentral:rRNA from 1 species